rnacentral:rRNA from 1 species
UACGAAGGGGGGCAAGCGUUGUUCGGAAUUACUGGGCGUAAAGGGCGCGUAGGCGGUGCGUUAAGUUAGGCGUGAAAGCCCUGGGCUCAACCCGGGAACUGCGCUUGAUACUGGCGCGCUUGAAUCCAGGAGAGGUUGGUUGGAAUUCCCAGUGUAGAGGUGAAAUUCGUAGAGAUUGGGAAGAACACCGGUGGGCGAAAGGCGGCCAACUGGGACUGGUAUUGACGCUGAGGCGCGAAAGACGUGGGGGAGCAAACAGG